AGAGUUUGAUCCGGGCUCAGAACGAACGCUGGCGGCAGGCUUAACACAUGCAAGUCGAACGCUGUAGCAAUACAGAGUGGCAGACGGGUGAGUAACACGUGGGAACAUACCCUUCGGUUCGGAAUAACUCAGGGAAACUUGAGCUAAUACCGGAUACGUCCGCGAGGAGAAAGAUUCAUCGCCGAAGGAUUGGCCCGCGUCUGAUUAGCUAGUUGGUGAGGUAACGGCUCACCAAGGCGACGAUCAGUAGCUGGUCUGAGAGGAUGAUCAGCCACAUUGGGACUGAGACACGGCCCAAACUCCUACGGGAGGCAGCAGUGGGGAAUAUUGGACAAUGGGCGAAAGCCUGAUCCAGCCAUGCCGCGUGAGUGAUGAAGGCCUUAGGGUUGUAAAGCUCUUUUACCUGGGAAGAUAAUGACGGUACCAGGAGAAUAAGCCCCGGCUAACUUCGUGCCAGCAGCCGCGGUAAUACAAAGGGGGCUAGCGUUGUUCGGAUUUACUGGGCGUAAAGCGCACGUAGGCGGAUUCUUAAAUCAGGGGUGAAAUCCCGAGGCUCAACCUCGGAACUGCCUUUGAUACUGGGGAUCUUGAGUUCG
rnacentral:rRNA from 1 species